ensembl:lncRNA
UUCCCGCAUUUCCUACCUCAUAUCCCACCCCAGAGCCCCCAAACCCCAAACCACCACCCCCAUCCCGCUCCUGUGUUUUGUAGGGCCUCACACCAGGCCGAGCACUGUCCCCCGCCCCACUCUGAGGUGCCAAAUCCCCUUGGUUUUCCCCCAAACCCCCAUCACAAGACCCCAAAACUGGGGGAACAACAUCCCCCCAUGUCCCCUUAGGGUCACCCCAAGACACGGAGCAGUUCCUCAGUGAUUCCAUCUUAAUUUAAGGGGAAAAAAAUUAAAUACAAAAUUACAAAGACGGGGCUUGGGGGGGAAUUCCCACCAGGAUUUUCCAUGGGAACUCCGCAGAAAAUCCACCCUAAAAACGGGCAGGGGUCACAGCGAGGACCGGGGCACGGGGAGCCCCCGACCCCAAAAUGGCUCCGAGGAUCCACCCUGGCCAGGAGAGGGGUGGAGGACAGCGGGGACCAGGACGUGUCCCCCGUCCUUGGGACUGUGUCCCUGUGUCCCCUGUCCUUGGGAUUAUGUCCCUUGUCCUUGGGAUCGUGUCUCUUGUCUUUAGGAUCGUGUCCCUUGUCUUAAGGAUGGUGUUCCCUGUCCUUGGGAUCGUGUCCCUUGUCCUUGGGAUCGUGUCCCUUGUCUUUAGGAUGGUGUUCCCUGUCCUUGGGAUCAUGUCCCUUGUCCUUGGGAUCAUGUCUCUUGUCUUUAGGAUUGUGUCCCUUGUCCUCGGGAGGUGUCCCCUGUCCCUGGGGUCGUGUUCCCUCUCCUCAGGAUCCAGGAUCGUGUCCCCUCUCCUCGGGGUCCCAUGGCCUCAGGAUCGUGUCCCUUGUCCUUGGGAUUGUGUCCCUGUGUCCCCUGUCCUUGGGAUCGUGUCCCCUGUCCUUGGGAUCUUGUCCCCUGUGUCCCCUGUCCUUGGGAUUGUGUCCCUUGUCUUUAGGAUGGUGUCCCCUGUCCCUGGGGUCGUGUCCCUUGUCCUCGGGAGGUGUCCCCUGUCCCUGGGGUUGUGUCCCCUCUCCUCAGGAUCCAGGAUGGUGUCCCCUGUCCUCGGGGUCCUGUCCCCUGUCCUCGGGGUGCUCACGCGGACGCCGCCCCGCACGCGGUGCCAGGGCUGUGGGCAUGGGGUGGCACAGGGCGGGCACUCAGGAGUGUCACAAAGGCCUCCACCUGCAAGGACAGCCGGGCUGAGCGGUGGCACCGGCGUGGGGCUCGGGUGGCACCGCGGUGGCACCGGGAUGGGGCAGGGAGGGAACUGGGAUGGACUGGGAGGGACUGGGAUGGAACUGGGAUGGACUGGGAGGGACUGGGAUGGCACCAGCACCACGCAAGGCUGGCACCAGCACGGCCCUGGCACGGGUGAGGUUUAACCCCCUCGGUGCCACCGCGCCUGGCUCUGGUGGCACCGGGAAGGCGCCGGGGCCGUGCCCCGACCCGUGCCAGGCGUGGCACCCACCCGUGCCAGGCGUGGCACCCACCUGUGCCAGGCGUGGCACCCACCUGUGCCAGGAGCUGGCCCUGCCGCGCCGCGUCGUGCUCGAAGUCCUGCUCGGCGUCCAGCAGCAGGACGGGCGCGCGCCGCGCCGCCGCCAAGCCGAUCCUGCGGGCAAAGCCUGAGACCAAAAACCCCAAAAUACCCCAAAAAACCCAAAACACCAAAAAAACCCCCAAAAAAACACACAAGAAACCACAGAAAUACCCCAAAAUAUCCCAAAAAAACCCCAAAAAUACCCCGAGAAAACCCACAAGAAAUCCCAAAAAACCCCAAAAAUACCCCAAAAAACCCAAAACCACAAAAAAAAAAAAAAACAAAAACCCCAAGAAACCC